GCUAAUUUAAUAUUUAAAAGAUGAAUGCCGCAUUGAUACAUUAUUGAGGUCAGAAAAUCACCCCCUCAUUAUUUAGCUUUGAUUGUAAUCCAGAUGAUGCACAUUAAUCAAACGAAGGCAUAAUUUUCAACAUUUUAAGCAUAAACGCACAAAUUCAUUGGAGUAUGUGUAAACAAAAUUCUGAACAAGUGUGAUCUUUCACUCCAAAUAAAUAAAUAUGUCCCGAGUUUCAUAUCUACCGAAACCAAUUAUAUCCUCAAUUCAAUCUCUUUAACAAAACAAGAUCAUAAUUGCAUUCAACUGCAAUACAAUCUUCUAGCAAUUGCUUGGUUGGCCAUAACACACAUACAAUCUUCUAGCAAUUGCAUGGCUAUUUCUCUUUUUCCCAUCUUUCCAGAUUAUUUGGCUCCAUCUGACUACUGAGUGACAGAUGCCCUCAAUAAAUAGCCAUAAACAACGAUGCAGAAUAUGUCACCCUAAUAUGACAUAGCACUUAAAGUGCUUCAACAGCUAUGCAUGAUGAAUAUUUCUUAGAACCCAUCUGUCAAGCAUUGUCUGCCUGUAGCAAUGCUUUUUCCCCCUCUAUAGUCAAUACCACCAAAAAAUCCAGUGCCAAUCCUUUCUGUGCCUUUUUCUUAUUAUAUUCAAAUACACUUUUUCUGCAAGAUUCUCAAAGCCCAGUGCACAUACAACAUAAGACAUGGUUAAGCUCUGUUUCCAGACCUGUUCGCUUCUUGACCAUGCAGAAUUCUAAGCCGUUAAACAAGCUGCUUCCUGCAUGCGCAAGUUCAAUUACACUUCAGGAAACUGUAGUUAAUGGUUAGACAUGGAAAACAAAUUAUAGUUCUUUCUGCCUUGCCAAGGACCCACAAAAUUGAGCAAAGACAGUAUCACAAACUGUAAUCAGCUAGCGAAGACAACACCUAAAUAAGUAAAAAAUUACCUCCCAGCUACCAUCAGGAAAUCCCCAUCACAUGACUCCCAAUGUGCUAACUUCUUGUUCCAGGUCAAAAAGCCAUAGGAGAUUGUUGCUUUCCAUGGUGUUGACCAAGUCAACGAGAUCCCAUCCUAAAGUUUUCCAAGCAGAUUUUAGAGUAAAUUAACUGUAUAUGCAUCAACAGAUAGUCAUUUAGCAAGUGCAACACAGAAUUAGCAUAUUAAAACCAUUUGCACUAGCCACUAGUAGCAGAGCGCACAAAUAAACUUGAAUUACAAUGAAGGAUAUUCACUUCAAAUUCACUUAUUUACUUGCAAUGACAUUCAUUUGAAAAUAUGAAGAAAGAUGAGAGGAAAAUCCCAUUACCUAAAGAUUUGUUUGGCUGUGAUUGUAGAGACUUAUUUAUUGUAGGUGGUGACUGAUGAUCAUGACCAAACCUGUAGCACAUCAGCACAGGUGGAUUUGAUUGCCUAAUAGAAAUCUUCAUGGUGUGAGGUUAUGAAGGAUACUCAGAGAGGUGGGAUGACCUCUUUGCUUGCAUUUCUCGAUGGAAAAGGAUCCUCUGUUUAUCUCUAGAACCCAUCUCUUGAGAAUCAACCACUAAUAAUUUUUCUGAUGGUUUCAAAUGGGAUGCUUUGGUUAGCAAUUGUUUUAAUAUGAAUGAUAGCAUGUCAUGUUAUCAAAAGGAAUCUAUAAUAUGGAGAUGCAAAUGGUAUUGAAGUUCUUGUAAGCCCUUCACGAGUCCAUGGAGAUGGAGCUUGCUUGAGACUUGGGAAGGCAACUAGUCAACUUGAAGCUAAGCUUAAAGAAGUUAGGAAUGUAAUAAUUCCUUUGGCUGUUUGGGGGACUAUGUAGAGAAAAAGAAUGGUUGCAUUAUGCAUACGCUUCAAUUUUAGUUGACAAGAAUUCUCUAUUUUAAUCAUUUUUUUUUUUGAAAAAAUACAUUAAGGUUUAUUUUCCUAGUGUAUUUCUAUCAAUAUGAUUCUUAGUUUCAUUUCCACAGACUAAUUCAGUUUCAACAACAAAUUUAUACAUACAGAGAAGUUUAGCAGUGUUUCAUCAAAUCACAUUGAAAUUUCUUACCUGUAGGCCUGAUACGACAAACACAAAGCUUGUUUUGGUCUUUCCCUUUCCAUGUUUGUGUGUAGAUAACAUCAAAAAUUUAUGUUAUGUCCAUGUUUCACUAAUCAACCAUUUGAAGCCCUUGAAGGGUAUCAUUGGCAAAAAAUGAUGUUCACAGGCUUUGUAAAUUAUGUGGACCAUAAGGCAAGGUAUUUCCUCGUUCAACAAAACGUAACAUAAGGUUAUCUGCCUCCUCUGUUUUUCCUUCUAAUGUCAGUUUCUUGCUCACCUUUUCACACAACUUCAAAUCAGGAAUCAGAUUCCUGUUAAACAUUCUAACUGCUACUCUAUAAGAUGAUAGAGGAAUCCCUUUACUCAAAUAGCUCUCCAUUAGCACAUGGCAUGUAUUAGCAUCAAUUCUCGAGGCUGUUCUCAAAACCUUACCUAAGAGUUUAUCAGCUGCCUCCAGUUUUCCAAAGCUACAUAGUUUCUCAAUAACUUGAUUAUAUGCUGUUCUGCAUUUUUUCCGUGAAAGCAUUUUGUCCAAUAAUAUUAACAAAUCUUCAACCCUUCCUAUUUGACAAUACCGGUGGAUCACUGUUCUAUAUGUCACAGGUGUAGGAUCCAAUCCCUUCUUAAGCAUCAGCAUAGUAAAUUCAGUAGCCUCUUCUAUUCUACCUUUCUUACCCAGUGCGUUAAUUAUCGUUGUAUAAGUGACUGCAUCAGGAUGUUUGUUGUUUAGAUACAUGUCAUCCAGCAAUGACAAAGCAGUAUCUAUGUCAUCAUUCUGGCAAAAUCCAUGAAUUACGGUAGUAAAGUUUACUGCAUUGACAGCACAACCCCAUUUUAAACACUCCUCCAUGAAUAUUUUUGCAUCAACUGUUUUUCCCUCCCAGCAGAGUGACUUGAUUAAUAAAUUAAUUUCAACAGGAGUUGGGAAAAAUCCCUUUCUAAGCAUCUCCCUCACCACAUCCCAAGACUCAGACAGCUUCCCUUCCCUUCGCAGCCCAUGCAUCACAACACUAUAAGUAAUAGCAUUUGGGGUCCACCAGUCUUCCUCGCUCAUGUUCAUCAUCUCCCUUGCCUCCAAUGAUUUCCCAUUUCGACAAAGCCCAUUUAGCAAGGCUGUAUACGACACAGUGUUUGGCUUAUAGCCAUGCUUGUACAUUUGCUGAAGCAUCUUUUUAGCCUCCUCUACCUGCCCAACCUUACAAAGUCCAUUAACAACAGCAGUAUAUGUCACUACAUCAGGGGAGCAACCUUUAGUGAACAUUUCAUUCACAAUUGUUUUUGCCUGUUCUAUCUUUCCCUGCUUACAAAAUGAGUCAACUAUAGCACUGUGUCCAACUUUAUCAACCUGAAAUCCCCUUUCUUCAGCUUCCCUCAAAAACUCAACUGCCUCAUCUGCAUGCCCAUGCUUGGCAAGCAUAUGAAUUAGAGUAUUAUAAGUAACCUGAUCAGGAAACAGUUUACUAUCCUUCAUCAUCUUCUCUAUUAAGUCCUUCACUUCUUUGAUCCUCUUGUCCUUGGAAAGAAAACCCAUCACAGUAUAGUAACUAACUUUAUCUGGGGAGCAUCCUUUGAAGGGCAUUUCAGCAAUCAGCUCCAUGGCAUCAUCGACUUGAUGAACAGCACAGUAUCCCUUGAUCAAACAAUUAUAAGUGAAAAUGUUUGGUGUGAUUCCAAUAAGUUUCAUUCUCUCCAAAAAUCUCAGAGCCUUCUCCAACUUAUUUGCCAUUACCAAAACGUGAAUGGCAGUGUUACAUAUAAACAAAUUAGGUUCAAUACCUGCUUUCUGCAUCACAGUCAAUAUUUGCAUUGCAUUCCUCAACUUACCUGCCCGACUAUAUGCCACCAUUACAUAAGCAAAAGCUUCAGGCUGACAUUCAAUUCCCCUACGUGCCAUGAGCCGAAGAACCCUCCUAGCACCUUGACACAACUUAGUUUUACUAAGGACCUCAAGCAUCACAUAAUACACAAUUGGGUUGUGCCUAUACCGCCAUUGCCGAUCAGCCCAAUAGAAAAAUUUUAAAGCAACCCUUUCAUCAUCCUGGGACUGCAAAACAGCACAUACCUGUGGAGGCUUGAGGCUUCUUAGUAAACGCCUCAAAUCCCCUUCAAGCUUAGGAUUCCAAGUUGACCUAAGUCCAAUCAACCUACAAAUUUCUCUCACCAAAGGGUGUCGAAAUUCUUCUUCUUCUAUCUCAAUUCUCCUAACUCCUUCAUUUUGAUCAUUAUUUCUAUUAAUAGAAUUCAAAACCAUAAAAUCACUAUCAUCAUUAUCACUAUCACUACCUUCUCCUUCUCCAUCUCCUUCAAUCUCGUCAAAACUAUUAAUUUUGCACUCGCCAUCACCGAAAUCCGUUUGUCUAAACUUCUUAGCGCCAUCGUUGCUAUCAUAAAAAUCCUCUCUUUCUCCAUUUCUUGAUGUCAAUGAAGAGAAAAACGAAUUGAACACAAUGAAUGCAGAAGGCUGAGCACAAAUAUUGCAUGUGGAUCUAUAAAUGAAAUCAAUACCAUGAAUACACGCAGGCAGCAGAAAGAAAUCAGCGAACUUGUGAGGAUUAGUAAUUGCUUUGCGAAUUGCGGGGUGAGAAUUGAAACCAAAGAACAUUUCAAUAGAAGAGGCUUAUGCACAAGAGAAGCAAUAACUGGAGCUUCCACUUCCCUUGGGCAUCUAUUGCGCGCUUCCUCCAGACCAAUGUGGUGCUGCUGUUCAAGCUUCUCUGUUAGGGUUGGCUCUAGUGGGCAG
rnacentral:misc_RNA from 1 species